rnacentral:sRNA from 1 species
AAAUUGUAGAAGUAGAAAAGUC